AUUGAUUUUGUUCGAGCUAGCUGUGGUCAGAACAUUUCUUCAAAGGGAGAUCGGGCCGUGUGCUAUUUACCCGUGUUUCUCCGCUAAUUCCCGUGCCUUAUCUUCGCUAACGACACGUCUGUCUUCCAGAUCGGACUUAUUUCCGCAGAGAAUUAUGUCUGGAUCUUCGCAGUAUGCGAUUGAACGAUCGAACGACGGUUUGAGUUGCGAAGUAACAUCGAACACGCUUGUGCUAAUGGAUAGAAUGGAACAUCGUAGAUAGUCUUUUUGGGGGGAGGAGCAAUAAAUUUAUUAAGUGUAUAAGAACAUGACAGUAGUAUACAGUCGUGUACAUAGUUGUUUGAUUUCCGUAAUACAGGAUUUAUUUAUAGAACACGUGAGAGACUUGCAGAGGUCCUGAGUGAUUAAUUUGAAUUACUGAAAGCGUGAGAGUCCCAUAUACAGCUCUACACUAUGGGGUAAAGCUACGAUAUCAUGCACCAUGCAGAACUAAGAAACGACUGUGCUACAGAAUGCGAACAGGCAAACCUCGACUCAAAUCAUCGUUCAACCUUACAGACUAAGCCAUCUACAACUACAGUAUUAAUAAAUGAUUAGUACCCUAAGUUGUUCCAGCCAAUUUCUAACUUCGAGGAACGAGAGCUCAUUGGUCAGGUCAAAGAUUAGGAGGAACCCCAUGGAAUCCCGGUAAAAUGUAGUGGUUAAACUUCUGAACCUGGAUAUUAAUAGCACGGAAGGUCUUUGUAGAUAAUUAUGAUAAUUAGGUACUAUCACUAUCACUAUCACUAUUAGGGGGAAUGCUAAUGACAUCGGCUGCCAUGAACGCACAAAGUAAUGUAUGCGCAUCAGUCCAAGUACUUAAAAUGUUUCACAAUGAUCAUAAAUAAGUGUUAAUAGCUUGUAACUACUCGAAAUUGUUAUUAAAGGCUGCUACUAUUAAAGCGUUA